CUCAAUCUCUUAAAAAAGCAUAGUGCCAAACUCUCCCCCGUGGAGAUGAAAUGGGCAUGGAAUAAUUGGUCCAACUUCGAGGGAGUCAUGGGUCAUAUUAAAUUCCCUCCACAAGCAAAUUUGUAUGGGGGAGGAAAAGGGAAUAUCAAUCAUUUGUGCAGUUCCAGGAGCUGCUCUUAGUGCUGCCAUAGAGAUCCGCGAUGAACAGCACACGGUAGAAACCCAAAUUAUAAAGUCCUUUCAGGAAUUGGUGACAUACCUGCAGUACCAAGUAGAAGAUCUUAGGGGACAGAAAAAGAAGAACAUUCAAAAGGCCUCCCUCAGCAAGCCCUUAGAGAACAGUUGGUAAAUGACAGAGAGAUAGAUGCUAGUUCCCCAGGUAGUGACUUUCCUCCAGGAGAAAAUCUUGAGGAUGUGAGAGCCCAAAAAGACAAGUUGGGAAACCUGUGAUCCUUCCCUGCCUUUAGAUAGAAACUGGGCGUGCAUGGGAAGAGACUGGCAGUGGGUAUUCUGAUGUUCGUACUGACAAAGUUCCCUGUUUGCUACGGAGCCGGCCAAAGUAAGGAAGGAUUUUGGUGACACCCUUAGGAAAUCAGUAUGUGUGGAAAGUGCCAUUAACAGAGGGAGGUAAGAUCUUGCUGACUGAAAAGGAAUCAGAGGGUUAUUGGGGACCUGGAAUAUUUUUCACCACGGGCAACCACUGCCAGUGGUCCCUUACUCCAAGAGCUGCUUAUUGGGAUGAUUACUCCCCAGAACAACUGCUGUUGAUUGAUUUGCCCCACUGUGGUCCUGUCACUUUAACCCUCAGGGAGACUCUUCACAAAUACUUGUGGAAGCCUCAAGAUGAUCAGGAGGAACUGUACAAAAUUAACCAUCUGGAUUUCACCUCCCUUCUAACUUUGGUUCAUUUAGGACCAGGAAGUCUUAUUUUUGUUUUGUUUUCUUUUCCAGUUUUGCUUCUUAUAACCUUGGUUUCUUUGGAACCAGGAAGUUCUCUCUUGUUUUCCAGAUGCUAACGAAUGCUGAUACUGUUGCUGUAGCUCACAUGUUCCCUUCUCACUCUGCUCCUUUCUCUGGGAUCCCUGUGGUAUCAUUGGUGUUCCUGCUUUGGACAGGAAUCUUCUUCAGAUUAAUUUUUGUAAUUGCUUAUGAUGACCUUAACACAGUCACUGGCUGGUCACGGUCCCAUGCCCAUAUUGGCAGUACUGGGCAUCUAGUUAGUUUUACUUAUGAUCCUGUCACUAACUCUCCCGCAGCUUUUGUCCUAAUACAUAAUGCUUCAGUACAUACCAUACACCUAAUCAUUGUGCUGGGACUGAAUCACAAUGGAGUUUUUUUGUUUAUUUUUUUCCCUGCAGAGGAGAAAGAAUCACAAAUGCUUGUGGAGAAAAAAGACUCAGGGAUUUCUUCUUCUUUCUUGCUAGCAGAUCUUGAUGCUCUCCUCUUCCUGCCAGUGGGCUGCGUGUCAUGCCAUAGUCCUGCAGUCUCCAGAAGUGACCCCACAUGCUACCAAAACAGAUCACAGACCUGGAUUCAGGCAUUCUUCAUUCUCCCACUGCACGAGCUGUCAUGGAGCAACGUGCUCCUCAAACGUAGUCAUUUUGUGAGGUUACACAGUGAGGUUACACAGUGUUUGUGUACUUAGGUAGGAAUGGAAUGUUGUUUCUGCAUUAGAACUAAAACGUGAGUAUUUUACGUCAUUGUCUCUGCUCCAGUCUUGUGUUGUUUGUUUACUACUACUAAUUACUACUUAGUACUACUAAGUACUAACAGCUCUUUUUGGGAGUGUUUUUAUUUCAUCAGGAGUCUCUGAGGGUCUCCUUCACUUGCCUGUUUGAUGAAUUUUCCACAUUGGUGCUUGCUCAGUGGGUAGAUGGAGUAAUGAAUGUAUGGGUACAAGGACUGCUGCUGUUAUCUGUCCAGCCAUCUGGAAUACCUCUGAGCCUUGAGUUCCAGACAACAUAGACAUUGCGCUCCUAAACAUUACGAUAAUGCCUUUAGAAAUCCAAAACCCUUGACAAUGAUAUCAGUAGGCUCAUUAUGUUGCAAGACUACUGAUUUUUGAUGCUGGUCAGACAGGACCUCAGUGAUGAUAGAAAAUUUAAGGAGGAGAAUGUAAGCCAUUAGCAAUAGAUAAACAUUUAGCUAGCAACAGUUUCUAUUUAGCCAGUAUGCCCAUGUACAGUUAAGCAUCGGGAAGGUCUGUGAACCUGAAAUACUCAGGCAAUGAGGAAUCAGGGGAAAAGGUGAGCAUCAAGGUAAUAGGGCAUGUUCUUUGCUUUGUAAUAGGGUUUUGUUUGCUUUUCAUUCAGUAUCAUUUCUUACCAUUACGCAGCGUUUGUCUUGUCUUGUUUUUCAUGUUGCCAAUCAACAUUUAGUUGGAGCUUGGGUGACCCGAAUGCAUACAACUAAGUGUUGACCAAGUGUGAUGUGAAAUGAAGAGGUAGGCUCCGAAACAGGCUUCUAGUGAGUGCUGUGUACGACAUGGAGUAUCGAGAACUACCUCUGUUUCUCCCUGCCCCAUGUUGUUCAGUACCAGACGUGAAGGUUUCUUCUUUCCUUCUAGGGUUGGAGACUCCACUAUCAGAUGGCAUUGGCCUUUCAAGCCUCCCUGGGUUGUAGCGCUGGUUGUGCCCUGAUCCUUGGAAAGGGGAACUGAUUCCUUCAUCAUUACCUGAUGGUGACGUCUACUUAUCUUGUGUCCAGUGAGCGGUGGUGGAAAAACUGCGGCUCUCCCGAGUGGUGCAAGGACUCUACUGAGGCUCAUUGUGUUUAUAGUAGAAAACUACAGCCAUAGAUGGAUGCCAAUAUCCACUCCUUACUCUGUCUGGCAAGCUGUGUUGAUCUCUGAAGUUGCUCCCACACUUGUAGAAGUUCUUUGGGCUCAGCAUCAGUUGUCUCUUGCACUCACAUGGCUUUCACCAGUUGGAGCUACAGUGAGCCCAAAUGGUGACUGCUCUGCUUUGACCAAGUGAGAUGCAAAAAGAAGAGAAUCCUUUGUUUUUUGGCUCAAAGCUUGCUUCCUGAGGUUUUUCUUGCGAUAAGACUCUCAAUGAUUUGUUAAGGAGGCAAGUGAUGGGUGCUAACCGUGAGACAAUCGGUAUCACUUUGGGAACAUUUGAAAGCCCCUUCCUCCAGAGCUGCUUGCCUCCGGAAUAGAGUGCUCAGGAGUGUUCACUGGCAGAAGAUCUGGCCUGUGACUAAAGAGCUCCAGCUUGGUAUGGGAAAAUUGGGGAAUUAUACCCUCGUGUUCUGUGAAAAACAAGAUGCAGAUGGGCAUCCCUGUUCCCUCUUGUCUGCUGGCAAGGCCCAGAAGAUGGGAACAAAGGAGUUUCUGCUGAGAUCCCAGAGCCAGAAGCUGCCGCUCCAAGGAGAGCUGACUCAACCACAUUGGAUUUGAGCUGUCACUCCAAAGACAGCUGACUCGACCACUUUGAAACUAUUGAAAAGGGGCCGUCAUCACCAUGGUCAUGGCCGUCGUUCUCAUCAUUCUCCUCGUCGUCAACAGAACAAUGCCUGACGACCCACCACUACUGAAGAUCAAAGACUGAACUAUAAACCACGCUAGAUCCAUGGUGGUGACUGUCUCCCUCUUGCUUCCUAUAAAGACUCCUUGCUUCUUCUUCUCUAUCUUUUCUAUCUUUCCUAUCGCCCUCCUUCCCUUCCCCAUUACCCUGAUUCGUAAUAGCCUCCGUCCUCCCCUUCCCCAUUUCCCUAAUUACGAUUUGUAAUAAAUUGGUCGGACCAACAUUUGAACUGUUGUUUCUUAAUCUCACGCCGGGUAUAUAGAUAAUAAAAGAACCUCCUCUCCCUCCUAUAAAUUGGAGCAAGACACUAAUCUGCUUUGUUUUUCUAAUUUUUUUUCCUAAUUCUUUUCCUAUUUCUUUUUCCUGUUGCAAGUUUUUCUUUUCAUUGCAAG